rnacentral:tRNA from 1 species
GCCUGGGUGGCUCAGUCGGUUAAGCGGCCGACUUUGGCUCGGGUCAUGAUCACAUGGUUUGUGAGUUCAAGCCCUGCUCCAGGCU